ensembl:snRNA U1 U1 spliceosomal RNA
AUACUUACCUGGCAGGGGAGAUACCAUGAUCUCAAAGGUGGUUUUCCCAGGGCAAGGCUUAUCCAUUGUACUCCGGAUAUGUUGACUCCUGCGAUUUCCCCAAAUGUGGAAAACUCGACUGCAUAAUUUGUGGUAGUGGGGGACUGUGUUCAUGCUCUCCCCUG